rnacentral:rRNA from 1 species
AAGCACAAGCCUAAGAAUGGUAAAGCCGCGAAUGGCUCAUUACAACAGCCAUAGUUUACUGGAUCUUACUUUCCUACUUGGAUAACUGUGGUAAUUCUAGAGCUAAUACACGCAUGAAAGCUCUGACCGUUUGGGAGGAGCGCAUUUAUUAGAACAAAACCAAUCGGGCCUUCGGGCCCGCCAAUUGGUGAAUCUGAAUAACUUUGCAGAUCGCACGGUCUCGUACCGGCGACGUAUCUUUCAAAUGUCUGCCUUAUCAACUUUAGAUGGUAGUUUACACGCCUACCAUGGUUGUAACGGGUAACGGAGAAUAAGGGUUCGACUCCGGAGAGGGAGCCUGAGAAAUGGCUACCACAUCCAAGGAAGGCAGCAGGCACGCAAAUUACCCACUCCCGGCACGGGGAGGUAGUGACGAAAAAUAACGAGGCGGUUCUCUACGAGGCCCGCCAUCGGAAUGGGUACAAUUUAAAUCCUUUAACGAGGAUCUAUUGGAGGGCAAGUCUGGUGCCAG